rnacentral:rRNA from 1 species
AGCAGCCGCGGUAAUUCCAGCUCCAAUAGCGUAUAUUAAAGUUGUUGCAGUUAAAAAGCUCGUAGUUGAAUUUCGGGGUUAGUAGGUUGGUCAUGCCUCUGGUAUGUACUGGUCUCACUGAUUCCUCCUUCCUGAUGAGCCGUAAUGCCAUUAAUUUGGUGUUGCGGGGAAUUUGGACUGUUACUUUGAAAAAUUAGAGUGUUUAAAGCAAGCUAACGCUUGAAUACAUUAGCAUGGAAUAAUGAAAUAGGACGUUCGAUCCUAUUUUGUUGGUUUCUAGGAUUGACGUAAUGAUUAAUAGGGAUAGUUGGGGGCAUUAGUAUUCAAUUGUCAGAGGUGAAAUUCUUGGAUUUAUUGAAGACUAACUACUGCGAAAGCAUUUGCCAAGGAUGUUUUCAUUAAUCAAGAACGAAAGUUAGGGGAGUCGAAGACGAUCAGAUACCGUCGUAGUCUUAACCAUAAACUAUGCCGACUAGGGAUCGGAUGAUGUUUAAUUUUUAUUGACUUCAUUCGGCGUCCG